rnacentral:rRNA from 1 species
GACGAACGCUGGCGGCGUGCCUAACACAUGCAAGUCGAGCGAAUGAAGUUCCUUCGGGAACGGAUUUAGCGGCGGACGGGUGAGUAACACGUGGGCAACCUGCCUCAUAGAGGGGAAUAGCCUUCCGAAAGGGAGAUUAAUACCGCAUAAGAUUGUAGUACCGCAUGGUACAGCAAUUAAAGGAGCAAUCCGCUAUGAGAUGGGCCCGCGGCGCAUUAGCUAGUUGGUGAGGUGACGGCUAACCAAGGCGACGAUGCGUAGCCGACCUGAGAGGGUGAUCGGCCACAUUGGGACUGAGACACGGCCCAGACUCCUACGGGAGGCAGCAGUGGGGAAUAUUGCACAAUGGGGGAAACCCUGAUGCAGCAACGCCGCGUGAGUGAUGACGGCCUUCGGGUUGUAAAGCUCUGUCUUCAGGGACGAUAAUGACGGUACCUGAGGAGGAAGCCACGGCUAACUACGUG